rnacentral:rRNA from 1 species
GCAUGACGCGCACAAUUGACGGAUACGCGAGCAGUAACAAGAGACGAUCACGUCAGCAUGAUUUCAUAUUGCGAUGAGCCGCCAAGGCGUCUCAUCAACCCGUUUCGCCUGACGACCAUAGCGAGCGUGAACCACCCGAUCCCAUGCCGAACUCGGAAGUGAAACCGCUUAGCGCCGAUGGUAGUGUGGAGUUUCUCCAUGCGAGAGUAGGUCAUCGUCAGGC